UUUUGUUCCUUUAUUAUUUAAUUGACUCUAUAUUUUUUUUUUGAGAUAAUUUCUUUUUUUUAAACGUGGCGUCCGGGAUACCUGUCAGCAACAUAAUUCAGGUAACUCUGUCCACCAAGGCUAGGACAGAUGGAAAGAAUCACCUAGUGUUUGUUUGUCUCUCCUGGUUCUCAACCCAUUUCAUUGACCACUAGGUCACAACCUUGGGAAUUUGAAUCUAUAUUUUCUUACCUGUAUAUUGUUCCUAAGGCAGAUGUUGCAUAAAUGUUAACUAGAGAUCUUGUAUCUAGUCAGCAUAUCAUAAAUGCAAAUCUCAAAUGGUGGUCGUUUAUUUUUAAUUUCGCUUCUGUGGCCAAUACAGAAUCCCAAUUUCACUUGGAUAACUACAGCCAAGUGAAAGCAGAAAGAUCAAACAGAAUCUGCAAAAACAUUAUGUGUGUGUGCAGCGCGAGAUUAAUGAAUUCAGUCAACCCACAGCAAAGAACAAAACCCUCAAAGCAAGCACCUUUAGACAAGAGUUUGAUUGCACCACCGUCACUAUAAGACAGUUCAAAUACAACAGAGAAUUCAUUUUGUGUGUAAACCUGUUAGUGUCAAGAGCACGACAUUCUCUGCCCUGCCUUUUCCUCUAUAUCACCACCCGACCACCACCCCCUCACCCCCACCCCACCCAAAAAAAAAGACUUUUCCCCAGUUGCAUAGCUUGCUGGGGAACAGUGGUGGCAAAAUAAGCCCAUAUUUUGUCAAUCCACCAUUCUGCCCCUAUUCUAAUGGGCCACACGAGUGAUAUUUUAGAUGGGUUAAAUUUGGGCUUCAACUAUGCAUAUUUCUGGGAAAAUGUGGAUUUGCCUAAUGGGUUAUUUUCCAACCUAUGCUCGCUCAAAAUUCUUAAUUUCAUUUCUAAAGUAGAAAACACUAUAAAGUUGGCUUUUGGUUCUGAGAAGCUUGGAGAUUCCUUUUCUUUAUUGGAUGAAUCCAAGAGGAAGCUGUCACCGCAUUUAAUGAUGAAGAGUAUAGUACAUAUCAGUCCAGUUAAAAGAAAUUAUAUACCAGUCCACCUAAAAUGUUAUCUGCUACCAACUCACAAGUUUGACUUCAACUCCGGCGACUAACGACUCUCGCUACUCCGCUAUGCCAAUGACGUCUCAGUUUACUAGCAGCAAACACAGGGAUAUCGGAUGGAAUUUGGUACAUGAGGACCAUCAAAAGAUGCAGUAAUAUGCAAUUUUUGUCUACGCACUAUUAAUGGUGGUACUACUCGAUUCAAGCAACACUUGAUUGGUGGAAAUAAAAAUGUCAAGAUAUGUUAAACUUGUCUUUAAGUUUAAGAAAGUCUCAAGAAAAAAAACCGACGAAGUUUGUACAAAGCAUAUCCAAGGCAAGAGUCCAAAAACAUACCAACUCAAGCAUUCAAGCAAGAUGGAAGUCCUUGUCAAGCAAGAGUUCUUACAGACUUGGACAAAGCAUACCCACAUAAGGAGUCCACAAAUAUACAGGCUCAAGCAUCCAAGAAGCUGAGGGUCCUUGCCAAGCAAGAGUUCUUAAUGGACUUUGAUAUUGAUAAAGUGAUGAACCAGUUUUCACAGGCUAAGAUGUUGAUAUCAAAAUGGAAUGCACAAGGGCCUGAGUUUGUCAUCAUCAAAAAGAGGGAAUUUGUUAAGACUUGUGAAGUUUUGAUGAUUGACAAGAAGCCAUGGAACAAGCAAGCUUAGCUCGUUCAUGAAAAACUAUUUUAAAAGAGUUCAACAUGCAAGAGGACUUUGUAUGGAUAAAGUCGCAUAUGCAAAAAUAAAGGAACAUAAGCUUGUUACUUCAGAUAAACAUAAAGAGAUCAGCAUAUGCUGAGAAUGAGGGUUAAUGUUUGACUACAACACUCAAGAAGAGAGUCCAAGAAGCAUGAGAGUCCUUAAGGAGUUUGAAGUCUGCUUGGUUGGAGUUACAAAUAUUCAAGGUCUUCCAAAACGAAAUUAAUGCACAUAUACUAAGAGGAAAAAAGGGAGAACACUAGCAAAUAAGAACAAUCUUUGAGAGAGUUCUGCCUAGCUAUCAAAGUGCAUCCUAAUAUGGUGAACCAAAUUGAAGAACCAGAUUCAUCUAUGUGUCUAACAGUCUUCUAUUCUAGUUAAUAUGUAUUAGGAAGUUUAUUGAGUUGUAAUUUUCAUGCUUUCUUAGUGCUAUUGUGUUAUAAAUUGGUUAAGGAGUUUAGUCUUUGAGUUGGGAUAACUCAAAGACUUGGGAACAUAAACCUUGGGUGGUUAGUGUGUUUUUAGGAGUUAGAGUUAGUUCUUGGGAUUGCUAGAAUUUUGUAAUCUGAUUUUCAAGUAGGGGAACUUAAAGUGGGUUUCAAUAGUCUAGGGAGAUUGUUGAUCAUUAGGAAUUAGAGUUUAUAAUUCUUUAGGUUACAGAUUUUGUAAUCUUUUAUUGAGAGGCUCAUUGUAUUUUGUGAAGUUGGAAAUACAUCUUGUAGAGGUACAGGUCGUGAUUUUUUACACCUUUUGUGAGCCGGGUGUUUUCCACGUAAAACUAUCGUGUUCAUUAUUUAUUGUCUUUACUGAAACACGUUAGACACCUGGUCCAUCCGUAGGCAAAAAUCGGGCAUAACUAACGUGAGUUAUUAGGACGUGUAGAAAUAUCAACAUGUUUGUGUUAGAUCUAUAACUAAAUUUAAUACUUAUCUCUAAGUCAAGAAAAAUAGAUGAGGAACAACACGACCCAUCCAUCAUCACGAUUCUUACUAUUGCCAAGACCAUAAGCCACCUCUGUACACAACUAACCAGUACUAUUUGUAUAGAUGCAUUUAUGCUUUACUGGUAUGGAAUCGUCAUUUGAUCCCCCGAUGAAAGGUUAGUUAUUAUCUAUGUCCUUAAAAUUUUUUCCAUAACUCAGCAUAGCUCUGAAACCUUCCUCCAUAACAUACCAGCAGGAAAACUGUCUCUUUUUUAUGUAACACAGUAACACUCAUCAUAUGUUCAGAAAACAAAAAGAAGUAACUUGUAAAAAACAUCAAUCAAAAAAGAGUAGAGUGCAUAAACAAACUGUAACUUAAGUCGACCAGAAACGAUAUUACAGAAAACAUGAAACCUAAACGACUUGGCACCCAAAAAAACCAAUAAUUGUGCAGCAACAACAACAGCACUGUAGCAGCAUAUCCUACCUUGUUUAAA